rnacentral:rRNA from 1 species
UACGAAGGGGGCUAGCGUUGCUCGGAAUCACUGGGCGUAAAGCGCACGUAGGCGGCUUGCUAAGUCAGGGGUGAAAUCCUGGAGCUCAACUCCAGAACUGCCUUUGAUACUGGCGAUCUUGAGUCCGGGAGAGGUGAGUGGAACUGCGAAUGUAGAGGUGAAAUUCGUAGAUAUUCGGAAGAACACCAGUGGCGAAGGCGACUCACUGGCCCAUUACUGACGCUGAGGCUCGAAAGCGUGGGGAGCAAACAGG